rnacentral:rRNA from 1 species
CCUACGGGAGGCAGCAGUAGGGGAUCUUCCACAAUGGGCGAAACCCUGACGCAGCGACGCCGCGUGAGUGAAGAAGUAUUUCGGUACGUAAAGCUCUAUUAUCAGGGAAGAAAAUGACAGUACCUAACCAUGCAGCCCCGGCUAACUACGUGCCAGCAGCCGCGGUAAUACGUAGGGGGCAAGCGUUAUCCGGAUUUACUGGGUGUAAAGGGAGCGUAGACGGUUAUGUAAGUCUGGAGUGAAAGCCCGGGGCCCAACCCCGGGAGUGCUUUGGAAACUGUGUAACUGGAGUACAGGAGAGGCAGGCGGAAUUCCUGGUGUAGCGGUGAAAUGCGUAGAUAUCAGGAGGAACACCGGCGGCGAAGGCGACCUGCUGGACUGAAACUGACGCUGAGGCGCGAAAGCGUGGGGAGCAAACAGGAUUAGAUACCCUUGUAGUC